AGUUGAUCAUGGCUCAGGAUGAACGCUAGCUACAGGCUUAACACAUGCAAGUCGAGGGGCAGCGGGAGGUCAGCUGCUGACUCGCCGGCGACCGGCGCACGGGUGAGUAACACGUAUCCAACCUGCCGCGCACUCCGGGACAGCCCUCUGAAAGGAGGAUUAAUACCGGAUGGUGUCAUGGAGGGACAUCCCUUUGUGACUAAAGAUUCAUCGGUGCGCCGAUGGGGAUGCGCCUGAUUAGGAAGUAGGCAGGGCAACGGCCCACCUAUCCGACGAUCAGUAGGGGUUCUGAGAGGAAGGUCCCCCACAUAGGAACUGAGACACGGUCCUAACUCCUACGGGAGGCAGCAGUGAGGAAUAUUGGUCAAUGGGCGGGAGCCUGAACCAGCCAAGUAGCGUGAGGGAAGACUGCCCUAUGGGUUGUAAACCUCUUUUGUCCGGGAAUAAAGUGCGGCACGCGUGCCGUUUUGUAUGUACCGGCCGAAUAAGCAUCGGCUAAUUCCGUGCCAGCAGCCGC
rnacentral:rRNA from 1 species